GUCUAUGGCCUUACCAACCUGAACAUGCCCAAUCUUAUCUGAUCUCAGAAGCUAAGCAGGGUUGGGCCUGGUUAGUACUUAGAUGGGAGAAACUUGGUGAGCACCAGCUC
rnacentral:rRNA from 1 species